CACACCAGAGACCGCACAGAUUAGAGUACCCGAUCGAUCGCCUACGCCCCACGCAACGCCACGACGCACCCACGAAAGCGAGAACGCGAAGCGAAGCAAACCCCAGACGCCGGCGAGCCGCGCCCACCCUGACGGCGGCGGGGUAGGAGAGGGGGUCGCCUGCGGCGGCCGCGAUGGGGAAUAAGAUCGCGCGGACGACGCAGGCGUCGGCGACGGAGUACUACCUCCACGACCUGCCGUCCACCUACAACCUCGUGCUCCUCGAUGUCGUCAGCCGCGACCGCUUCCUCAAGUCCGUCCGCUGCAAGCACGACGAGGGGCUGCUCCUCGUCAAGGUCUACUUCAAGCGCGCCGGCGAGCCCAUCGACCUCAAGGAGCACGAGCGGAGGCUGGAGCGGAUUAGGAACACGUUCAAGGGGAUCGAGGGUUCCCACGUAUGGCCCUUCCAGGUUUGGUUGCAAACAGAUAAAGCGGCAUAUCUUUUGAGACAGUAUUUCUUCAACAACCUGCACGACCGACUGAGUACACGCCCUUUCCUCAGUCAGAUAGCGAAGAAAUGGCUUGCUUUUCAGAGAUGGUUGCCGACUUAGAUCAUUUGGUUGUGCAGUUAAUCCAUGCAGUGGAGCAGAGCCAUAGUAAAGGAGUUUGCCAUGGUGACAUAAAAUGUGAGAACGUGCUCGUUACUUCUUGGAAUUGGCUAUAUCUUGCGGACUUCGCGUCUUUCAAGCCAACUUACAUCCCAUAUGAUGAUCCAUCUGAUUAUUCAUUCUACUUCGACACUGGAGGAAGGCGAAGAUGCUAUCUAGCACCUGAAAGAUUCUACGAACAUGGUGGGGAGUCCCAAGUUGCAGCUGAUGCACCCCUGCAACCAUCAAUGGAUAUAUUUUCUCUUGGGUGCGUUCUUGCUGAACUUUUCCUUGACGGCGUGGCACUUUUUGAGUUUUCAAACCUUCUGUCUUAUCGGCGUGGUCAAUAUGACCCGAUGCUUCUUCUACACAAGAUACAAGAUACUGGUAUUCGUGACAUGAUACUUCACAUGAUCCAGUUGGACCCCCAAAAAAGGCUACCGUGUCGAAGCUAUCUACAAAAAUACGAAUCUGUUGUGUUCCCAGUUUAUUUUUCAAACUUUCUGCACAAGUUCUUCUCGGAUAUUGUUCCACUUGACUCAGAUGCCAGGGUUGAGAAGACUCAAGACAAUUUUGAAAAGAUACUUGAAAUAAUGAUGGACAGCUCAACGAUUGAACAGAUCGGGAGAUGUACAUUGUCUGAGCAUAGUGAACCAUCUGGGAGAAAAGGCACAGGAGGGCAAAAUUUAAACUCGCCAGGAGAUUCUAAAAAGAGCACAUCAGUUAAGAAAAAUGCUCUUGUAGACCAUCAACAGAUUGCUGGAGAUAUCAAUUUCCUCCUCAAAGAAGUGGAGAACAGGAGCAACAGCACAAGCACAAAGAUAACAAAAGACAUGGACCAGGACCAUAUUCGGUCCUCACAGCUGGUUAAUCCAGCAGGAAGGGGAACAGGAAGUGGUUUGACGACCCGGAACAAUGUUGUAUCCCAUGUGCAGAAGAUCUCAAAGAGUAAUUUAUGUUCCUUGGUAGCUGGUUAUGAUGGCCAAUCAGAUACCUAUAGCUUUGACAUUUUUCAACAGAUAGACUCCAAGGAGAGCUGUGAAGGCAUGGUCUUGCUUGCCUCAUUACUCUGCUCAUGCAUACGCAGUGUGAAAAAACCUGAGCUAAGAAGGGCCAGUCUCAUUCUUCUGAAGUUUUCGUCCACAUACAUAGAUGAUGACAAUCGCUUACAGCUAGUGGUUCCCUAUGUGAUUGCGAUGCUUUCAGAUCCGGCUGCCAUUGUCCGCUGCGCUGCUUUGGAAACCUUAUGUGAUGUCCUCUGUCUUGUGCAAGACUUCCCUAUCAGUGAUGCUGUUAUAUUCCCUGAGUACAUCCUCCCAAUGCUCUCUUUGCUUCCUGAUGAUACAGAGGAGAGUGUUAGAGUUUGCUAUGCUAGCAAUAUUCAUAAGCUGGCUUUAACAGCUUAUAGGUUCCUACUUCGUUCUCGUAGCAUAGCCGAUAUUGGACCUCUGGAUGAAUCAGUGAUAGCUCCCAGAUCACAGUCUGCAGAUUCACCAGCAAAGAAGCAAGAUCAAUUUUAUGCCCAGCUUGCAGAACUGAGGAAAAAUAUUUAUGAAAUAGUGCAAGAUUUGGCUAUGGGACAAAAGCAGACACCUAAUGUCCGCAGAGCUCUUCUGCAGGAUAUAGGUUAUUUGUGUUACUUCUUUGGGCACAAGCAAAGUAAUGAUUUUCUUCUUCCUAUACUUCCGGCAUUUCUAAAUGACCAUGACGAGCAGCUCCGUGCAGUUUUCUUUGGCCAGAUUGUCUUUGUUUGCUAUUUCAUUGGUUCAAGGAGCGUUGAGGAAUAUCUUUUGCCAUAUCUUGAACAGGCGCUAAGUGAUGGUAUGGAGGCUGUCCUUGUAAAUGCACUUGAUUGCUUGACCAUGAUGUGCAAAAGUGGUUAUUUGAGGAAAAGAGUAAUUGUUAGUCUAUUGGGAAAGGUUCUCCCCCUGCUUCGGUAUCCAAUCAAUUGGGUUAAACGGUCUGCUGUAAGAUUUGUUGCUGCUUGCAGUGAGAGCCUAGGGGCUGUAGAUACUUAUGUGUACCUUUCUCCUCAUCUAAGGCAGUUCCUACACAGGGAGCCACCUUCAUUGUCCUCUGAACCUGCUCUUCUUUCAUGCCUUAAGCCUCCACUGCCAAAAUCGAUCUUCUACCAAGCUUUAGAGGAUGCUCAGGACAUGGGAGACAUUUUACUGAAGGGUGGUGGCAAGAAAGAACUGACAGUACUUGGUGGAAGAUACCCUGGUAUAGCGCAAAGUGGAUCCUCAAUCAAUCUUGAAGAUGUUGCGCGAUUGAAAGGCCCUAAUAUUUCCAGCAACAUGCCUUUUGAUGUCAAAGAUUCAGUUUCUUCUGACAAAUCAUUAUAUUCUGGUUUUGCACUACAUGCAUCUGCUGGGAAUAGUUCCUUUUAUGACGGCUUAUCUAAAGGAAUACCAUCGUAUUCUGUUUGUACCGAUAAGCGAGGUUUAGGAGAAACACAGCCGCUCCCUGAUUCUUCAGUGUAUAAAGCAUCAAUAAGGCUACCUUGGUUGGAACCCAACCGCCCAGGCGUGCAUACUAGAGAUGAUUAUUUCAGUAGCAAGCGGCGAGAGUUAAGCAUAAAUGAUUCUAUCAAGAGCAGUUCCUCUUUGCAAGGGGAUAGCAUUCCAAACUCUGAUACUGGAGGAUUGCCGUCCUUCUCCAGAUCAGCAGUGAACUUGGAGACUGGAUGGAAGCCUCGUGGAAUACUAGUGGCACAUCUCCAGGAGCAUCGCUUGUCUGUCAAUGAUAUCGCCGUGUCAAAUGAUAAUACCUUUUUUGUGACUGCUUCUGACGACUCAAGUAUCAAGAUAUGGGAUACAAGAAAGUUGGAAAAGGACAUUGCCUUCAGAUCCAGGUUAACGUACAGCAUGGGUACUAGCCGAGCUCUUUGUACGACAAUGGUUCGUGGUACUUCACAGGUGGCUGUCGGUGCAAGCGAUGGAACACUGCACUUGUUUUCUGUUGAUUGUGCACGCGGCGUUGGGAGUGUUGUGGAAAGGUAUUCUGGAAUUGUUGAUGUAAAAAGGAAUGAUAUUAAAGAAGGUGCAAUUCUAAGUGCUGUAAAUUGUUCAAGCGACAGCUUUAGCCCAACUGUCCUUUUCAGCACUGAACAUUGUGGCAUCCAUAAAUGGGAUACAAGGACCAACUCAGAAUCUUGGUCAUUUAAAUCCUCACCGGAGGAGGGCUAUAUAUCCGCACUUGUUGUUGGCCAGUGUGGAAAUUGGUUCAUCUCAGGUUCUUCAAGAGGUGCCCUUACCCUGUGGGAUAAUAGGUUUUUGCUGCCUGUUAACUCGUGGUACUAUUCAACAGUAAGCCCUAUAGAGAAAUUGUGCUUGCUCAUACCUCCACCAAGUUCAAUAUCUUCUGCUGGAAGGCCAUUGGUUUUUGUUGCUGCCGGCUGCAACGAAGUUUCCCUAUGGAAUGCUGAGAAUGGAAGCUGCCACCAGGUGUUUAGAACGGCAAGCACUGAGAAUGAAGCUGUGAUGCCAAAGACACCAUCAAGACCUCUUAACAAGUCAACUACCAAAGAUGUAAGACGACCAGGCAAUUAUAAGUACAGAAUUGAUGAAUUGAACGACCCACCUGUACGCCAUCCAGGCAUACGCUCUCUGCUUCCCUUACCCGGCGGUGAUCUAUUGACUGGAGGAACAGACUUGAAAAUUCGUUAUUGGGAUCAAGCCAGACCUGAGCAAAGCUUCUGUAUCGCUGGUCCCUCGGCCAAAGAAGUCCGUUCGGCAAAAGGAGAUAUUUUGGAGAAAGCAGUUGGAAACAAUGAGUGUUAUGAUAUAAGAUCCAGUUUUGGAGUACAAGUCGUUCAGGAAAUGUACAAGCAAACAACCACGGUGUCCGGUUUGACACCCAAGACACAGCUCGCUUUGGCUGCUGCAGACUCCGCUGGGUGCCACCGUGAUACUAUACUUGCAUUGGCAUCCUUCAACUUGUCAAGCCAGAGGUUGAUAUCAGCCAGCAGAGAUGGUGCCGUAAAAGUGUGGAAAUAGCUGCUCCAGCGGCCACAUCCCACAUGCAGCCAGGCAAGGGCAAAUCUUCCGUUGACCGGGCCCUUUUUCCCUUUGACUGCCUCAGGCCCAUGAAAGGCAGUGCUGCAUGUGGUCCCAGGAAAUUUUGGAGGUGUGGGUCCUAGCUGAUAAAGAGAGGUAAAGGGAAUGAUGAGGUCAUGGUCCCACCUCUUUUGCACAUCGGUGUAACUGUUCAUUUGUCAUAUUCAGCAUGUGUUAAUGGUCGGAUCAGUUCAGGAACAUUACUUGGACAGAUUUUGCAUAAUUAUAUUCGACUGUACUGUACCGUGCAAUAGGAAUUCCCUAGGGGCCUGUUUGUUAGGAUGGAAUUGGCUGGAAUUGGAAUUAAUUUCCAAAGUCAUCUUGUUUGGUUGCUCCCGGAAUUGGAAAGAGGGAUUCCUCAGGAUUCCAACUCUAUCUACCGCACAUUCCGACCCUAAAAAGAGGAAAUCGUUUCCUCGGUCCCGAGUCCCGACCGCGACUAUUCCUCUUUCCCCCCGCGCGCGCCGCCCCGACUCCUUCCCCUUGCGCCGCCGCCCACUUCCUCCGCCGCCCCCUCCUCCACUUCUCCGCCGCCCCCUCCUCCACUUCCUCCAUCGGCCCCCUCCUCCGCUGCCCCCUCCUCCGUCGACCCCCUCCAGAGCCGGCACAGAGUGCGCCGCCCGUGCACAGAGUGCGCCGCCCGUGCCGCUCCUCCGCGCGAGCAGCUUCUCGCCGGCGACCACACGCCACGCGAGGCUGUAGACAGAUCUGAGGGAAGGGAAGCAUAGGGACGGGAGGAGGAGGAGCUCGGCAGCUAUCCAUUUUACUCACUGGAAGAUCGACGUGCAUCACCAAUACUCCUGCCUUGCUACUGGUUAAGGCGUUGCUGGGCGGCUUCAAGAAGGGUGCAAGGAACUGAUAUGCUGAGGCAUUGAUACAUUAUGCCUGACAACAACAUAGACUUGGUUAAUACAAGCAUGGAGCAAAUGAGAGAGAUGAGUAGGAAAAAGAGAAAAAGGGUGGCUGCUUUAUUUGUUUCUGCUGUCAUGAGCAUGAUUGUGCACUGGUAUCAGCGUAAGAGACCUAGACAUAUUGUUGAUCCGAAUGAAGUGGUUGAGAGAGAUGUAGCUACACGCAAACAAAUGCUAAGAAAUCUGUACCAAGGAUCAAAUGUCUAUUGCUAUGAUAGUUUGCGCCUAACUAAGAGAUCAUUUUAUGACCUAUGUGCCAUCUUACGUGAGAGAUGUGGUAUGUGUGAUAACAAGAAUGUGUCGGUAGAAGAAAAGGUAGCAAUCUUUUUGCUUGUAGUGGGUCAUGGCACUAAGAUGAGGAUGAUUUGUAGCUCAUAUGGAUGGUCACUUGAGCCAAUCUGCCGUCACUUCAAUGAGGUGCUUAGAGGUAUUCUAUCAUUAUGCCAUGAAUUUAUCAAGCUUCCUGAUCCAUCAGCUGUACAACCUGAGGAUUCCAAGUGGAAGUGGUUUGAAGAUUGCCUUGGAGCAUUAGAUGGUACACACAUUGACGUUUUUGUGCCUUUAGCUGACCAAGGGAGGUAUAGGAAUAGGAAGCAACAGAUUACCACCAAUGUUUUAGGGGUUUGUGAUCGUCACAUGAAAUUUGUUUACGUCUUAGCGGGAUGGGAAGGAUCAGCUUCAGAUUCACGUGUGCUACGUGAUGCAAUGUCUCGGGACGAUGCAUUUGUUAUUCCAAGUGGGAAAUACUAUCUAGUAGAUGCGGGAUACACCAAUGGACCGGGCUUUCUUGCUCCAUAUCGAUCCACUCGCUACCACUUGAAUGAGUGGGCUGCUCAAGGGCAUAACCCAUCCACUGCCAAAGAACUAUUCAAUUUGCGCCAU